rnacentral:rRNA from 1 species
GAUGAACGCUGGCGGCGUGCCUAAUACAUGCAAGUAGAACGCUGAAGGAGGAGCUUGCUCUUCUGGAUGAGUUGCGAACGGGUGAGUAACGCGUAGGUAACCUGCCUGGUAGCGGGGGAUAACUAUUGGAAACGAUAGCUAAUACCGCAUGACAACAGUUAUUGCAUGAUAACUGUUUAAAAGGGGCAACUGCUCCACUACCAGAUGGACCUGCGUUGUAUUAGCUAGUUGGUGAGGUAACGGCUCACCAAGGCGACGAUACAUAGCCGACCUGAGAGGGUGAUCGGCCACACUGGGACGGAGACACGGCCCAGACUCCUACGGGAGGCAGCAGUAGGGAAUCUUCGGCAAUGGACGGAAGUCUGACCGAGCAACGCCGCGUGAGUGAAGAAGGUUGUCGGAUCGUAAAGCUCUGUUGUAAGAGAAGAACGAGUGUGAGAGUGGAAAGUUCACACUGUGACGGUAUCUUGCCAGAAAGGGACGGCUAACUACGUG